rnacentral:rRNA from 1 species
CCUACGGGUGGCUGCAGGGAGGAAUAUUGGUCAAUGGACGAGAGUCUGAACCAGCCAAGGAGCGUGAAGGAUGACUGCCCUAUGGGUUGGAAACUUUUUUUAUAUGGGAAUAAAAUGUUCCAUGUGUGGGAUUUUGUAUGUACCAUAUGAAUAAGGAUCGGCUAACCCCGCGCCAGCAGCGGCGGUAAUACGGUGGAUCCGAGCGUUAUCCGGAUUUAUUGGGUUUAAAGGGAGCGUAGGUGGAUUGUUAAGUCAGUUGUGAAAGUUUGCGGCUCAACCGUAAAAUUGCAGUUGAAACUGGCAGGCUUGAGUACAGUAGAGGGGGGCAGAAUUCGUGGUGUAGCGGUGAAAUGCUUAGAUAUCACGAAGAACUCCGAUUGCGAAGGCAGUUCACUGGAC